rnacentral:rRNA from 1 species
AACGCUGGCGGCAUGCCUAAGACAUGCAAGUCGAACGAAGCGGCCCACUGACCUUCAUUGAAAUUGGAGUGCUGCACAAGAUGGAUUUGUAGUGACGUGGAUCUUCCGCUUAGUGGCAACGGGUGAGUAACACGUGGGUUACCUACCUCUAAGUUGGGGAUAACAGUUGGAAACGAUUGCUAAUACCGAAUGUGUUCUACGGAAUAAAGGAGCCUUUAAAGCUCCGCUUGGAGAUGGGCCUGCGGCGUAUUAGCUUGUUGGUGGGGUAACGGCCUACCAAGGCAACGAUGCGUAGCCGAACUGAGAGGUUAAUCGGCCACACUGGGACUGAGACACGGCCCAGACUCCUACGGGAGACAGCAGUUAGGAAUAUUCGUCAAUGGGGGAAACCCUGAACGAGCAAUGCCGCGUGAGUGAAUGACGGCCCUCUGGGUUGUAAAACUCUGUUGUUUGGAAAGAAUUGUUAGAGAAGGAAAUGUCUUUAACUUGACGGUACCAUUCAAGAAAGCCACGGCUAACUACGUGCCAGCAGCAGC